AAGUCGAUAUGUUUGAGUAACAUUCGCUUAAUCGACUAACGAGUUUUCAGCUAUUGAAUUGGUUGAUAUCUUGUGAAAGUGUAUAAUGAUGAAGUGUGAAAUUUUGCUCGUUAGCGAUCGGAUUCGGGAUCAUUAAAGUCGAAGUCAUCUACACUAUCAAAGCCUCCAUUUUGGUAUAAUUUUGGUUGAACUUUGAAAUGGCAUGUAUAGGACUACCCUAUUGUUGAAGGUCAUGUACCUUUCGGUUUUGUGUAAGCUUGGAUAGCCAUGCGAAAAUGGCUUAUAUACGUUUUUAGUAUGAUUCUAUAAUCGUUUGUAUGAUGAUCAUUAUGGGGUAUGGAAUUGUUUGAAAAGAUUAGCCAUUGGAAUGGUUAAUCGUGAUCACACUUUGUGCUAUGUAUGCAAAAAGGGCCAAUUGAAUCGUGGAAAUCAUGAAA